rnacentral:rRNA from 1 species
AGUGAACGCUGGCGGUAUGCCUAAUACAUGCCAGUCGAACGGAAGCACAGUAAGAGCUUGCUCUUACGGGUGGCGAGUGGCGGAUGGGUGAGGCAUACAUCGGAAUCUACUUUUUCGUGGGGGAUAACGGAGGGAAACUUACGCUAAUACAGCAUACGUUCUACGGGUGAAAGCAGGGGAUCUUCGGACCUUUCGCGAUUGAAUGAGCCGAUGUCGGAUUAGCUAGUUGGCGGGGUAAAGGCCCACCAAGGCGACGAUCCGUAGCUGGUCUGAGAGGAUGAUCGGCCACACUGGAACUGAGACACGGUCCAGACUCCUACGGGAGGCAGCAGUGGGGAAUAUUGGACAAUGGGCGAAAGCCUGAUGCAGCAAUGCCGCGUGGGUGAUGAAGGCCUUCGGGUUGUAAAGCCCUUUUGUUAGGGAAGAAAAGCAGCGUGUUAAUCCCCCGCUGUUCUGACGGUACCCAAUGAGUAAGCCCCGGCUAACUUCGUG